AUCACCGAGCGCUCAGUUUUCUCUGAGCCCAGCUUUCCUGGCAUGUUACGGUGAAGAACAUGCCGUUCUUAAGGCUUGUUUGCGCCUUUACUCUGGGCCUCAUCUGAUGAUGCUGAGAAGGAGAAACUGUCUCUAAGAGGCUGCCAGUUCCAGCAUGGAGCUGUGAGCCAGUUCCCUGCCAGGAGACAGAACUCCCUGCAAAUGCUGAUGGGGAAACUGGUGGAGUGACAGAUUGCUUCCGGAACAGGAUUUGCUGAAUGCCCUUCCCAUGUGAUGCUUUGGGGGUGGUCCAGCUGUCUAGCAAUAAGGCAAGGUUCCUGGUUUAGGAAUUCUGACUCAGACUCUUAAAUGGUGCGGAGAGGCCGGUCUCGACACAACUGGGGUAUGACACAGGUGACGGUGAGCACACCGGCAGGGGGCCCUGUGGCGGAACCGACCACAAAGCUUACAGGCCAUCAGGGGUGCACAGGGAGCUCCGGCAGAGAGAAGGGUCUACUGGGUUCCAGUUGGGACACAUAGGAGAGGGCCAGGGAAGUGAAGUUACCAGGUUACAUUUUUAAGGCUUUAACUUGCUGUAAUAGGGCAUCCUAAAACUCCCUAAGAGACAUUGCUCCCCACCUCCCCGUGCGUGUGCUUGCAGGUGCAUCUGUGUACAUGCAUGCAGACUGCUGGAGGACCUCCUUGGCUGCUGUUCCUCAGAUGUUAUUAACCUUGUUAUUUUGAGAUUGGCUUGGUGUCACACAAGUUCCACUUUCUAUGACAUUCCAAGACACUCUCGGGCCCUGACUGGAGGACAUCUGUAGAAUGUGCACUGGAAGAGACAGCUCUCUGAGGACCAAGGGACUGACUUCUCUCUUCACGUCGUGCAGAGCUUAGGCCUGAGUGGGGAACAAGGGCAUCUGGGAGUUGAGAGGGGCCCAGACAAUGGAGAAGAUGAAGCUGCUGGGGCUUGAUGCUGACCGGGAACUACAAAUGAGGGCACUGGUCCAGGAUGGCUAUGGCACAUUCACUGUUAGUGUGAACAUGGGCCUCCAUGCAUGAGCACCCAGUAGCCGCCGGCUCUGUCCAGCACAAAGAGACAACUGACUCUUCAAGCAAGCGACGAGGAAGAGUUGACACUCUGUAGGCUGCCAAGGGAAUACAAUAUGUGACUGGAGGCAACAAGAAAUGACAUUCUCUUCCCAGAACAAAGGACCAGUGAGUAGUUUCCCAUCAGCACUUUGGUGGCCCCUGUUACAGCAUUUUUUGAAGGUUCUAAUCUUGAAACUAAAAUAUAGAUUAAUAAUCAGAGUCUCCCACCAUUUACUUAAAGAAUUUUUGUUCGCUUUUUAUUUCUAUUUUGUUUUUUUGAGGCAUAAUCUUGCUACAUGGCUCAGGCUGGCCUCGAACCUGCCUUCCUCCUACUCUGCCUCCCCAGUGAUGGGGUUAGAGGCAGCUAUGAACAUGCCAUGCUUUUACAACAUUUCCACUUAAAUCUUUAGCAUGCUUCACGCUCAUAUUUACCUUCACCACACACGUGGUGGUAUAACUCUGGAGAUGACAUUGGUUUCAGCUGAUUGGUUAAGGAAGCUAAACAUUUAUUUCGACCCAACCUAUCAUAUGUAGGAUUUACAUAAUCCCCAAAGACUCAAGGUUUCCUCGCUAUUGUUUUGAACACCUACCUACUGCUAUGCACGCAGUAGUUAGUACCUGCUAUGCACACGAGUCUCUACACCACCCUUGCCCUGUGGCUCUGGGCUCAUGCUACCCCAUCCCUGGGCACACCCUACCUGGAGCACAACCCUUUAGCCACCUCAUGUCCCCUUGUCCCAGCUCUGGAAUAACAACCUGGUUCUCUGGGCUUCCAGCCUCCUGCCAGCCCUGCCUGUCAGAUCUCUGCAGACUGAUGGAAACAAAGGGAUGGGGGACAAACACAUCCCCGCCCCAGACAUCACCCUAGGGUCCACAAAGGGGAAGGCAGAAGCCAUGUGUGCCUAGUGGAUUCUUGAUGAUAGAGGGCUGGAGCAGACAGGGCUUCAGAGCCUCGUGCUUUGGGCUGCAGUACACAAGAGUGUCCGUUUGGAGGGGCUCCGGCACAAGGGAAAAGCCGAACAGGCCUUUUCCAGGGAGACUGAACCCAGGCCUAAUGGAGUCAAGUGCUUACCCAGAAGACACCAAAGGAUUUGAAGAGCCGCAGAGCACUCAAAGACAAAGGGCACGAGAUGUAUUGUUAGUUUUCAGAAAAAAAUAAAAUGUUCCAUGCUGGGCCAUUUGCUCUAGGUUUCUAGGGAAAUCAUUACAUGUGGAACUUUACUGGGUUUCAAGAAAUAAAAUGCAAAGGCAUCUUCAGCAAAGAACAAUUGUUGAUUGGGCAACAAUGAGAUUCGGGUCACUCGGCGGGUCUCGGCUGUCUGGCUUGCUGCGUUUGUUCUAACCGGGCUGCUU